GCGGAAGUAGCUCAGUUGGUAGAGCGUCAGCCUUCCAAGCUGAAUGUCGCGAGUUCGAACCUCGUCUUCCGCUC
rnacentral:tRNA from 1 species